rnacentral:rRNA from 1 species
UACGGAGGGUGCAAGCGUUAUCCGGAUUCACUGGGUUUAAAGGGAGCGCAGGCGGAUUGGUAAGUCAGUGGUGAAAGCCUUAAGCUUAACUUGGGAACUGCCAUUGAUACUAUCAGUCUUGAAUAUUGUUGAGGUUUGCGGAAUGGGUCAUGUAGCGGUGAAAUGCGUAGAUAUGACCCGGAACACCUAUUGCGAAGGCAGCAUGCUAAACAAAUAUUGACGCUGAGACGCGAAAGCGUGGGGAUCAAACAGG